UGCUAAGCAAGGUGGUUGUUAAAUGAGUCAUGCCUGAUUUAAGACCUUUUUGCCACGGUUGUUAAGUAAAUUACUGCCGUUACUAAGUGAAUCACAUGGUUGUUGAGGAAAUCCAGCUUCGCCUGUUGACUUAGCUUGUUGGAAAGUUUCAGUUUUACUGUGUGGAAUUCUGGGAGUUGAAGUCCAGAUGUCUUAAAGAUGCUGAGGUUGAGAAACGUUGCCCUGAAUUGAACAAGGCAGUAGCAAUACGGUAGUGUGAUUUUUAGCCAAAGAUCCUCAGGGUGGAUUACAUUAGACAACAAAAGACGGCCCCGUCCGUGCAAGCUUGAACACUAAAAGAGAGAAAGCAAAAGAAGGCAUUUAAAGAGAGAAGCUCUCCAAAUGGAACUAGCAGCAGAGCCAGGAGUAACAACUUCUCUGGCAGGAGUAGUCAGUCUCAUAAUCUUUAGUUUUUUAAGGGGAUUUGGGAAACUGCAGGAUCUGCAAUGAAUAUGUUGAUCAGUGGGGGCAAGAACGGAGAGAGACCCCUACACACUGGGCACUGUUGCUUUGUUACCUUUUUUAUUUCCUUCCAAAUCCACUUGUGGGUUUUACAGUAUCUGCAAAACAGAUUUGCAUUUUAUGCGAGCUGCUCACCACAAAUUAAGAGUCAUUUUGCAUCACUUGCAUUUCCACCCUGGUGGCAGCCCAAGGCCGCUCAUCGUACUUGGGUGAGAUGUGAAAAGCCCACUGACUGGAAAGCGCUUCACUCUGUGUGGUGGGGUUUAUUACGUUUUUCACCCAAUAACUGUCCUUCGACUGGGGCAACCCUGGCUUAAUUCCCAGCAUGUGCACUGGAUCGAGCCAAGGCAGAAGAGUAGAGAGGAGCAUGUUAUUGUCUUUGUAGUCCCUCCUUCAUUACGGCACAACCUCUGAUCUCAUGGACAGCAGAGCUGACGUCUCUGCUUCCAGGACUGAGGGGUGUUCCGCUCCCUUUCUAGGAAGAUGCUACGAAUACCUCCAGAAAAGAGGAGUUGCUGCCACAGACACACCCAAGUCUUUCACUAAGCGGAGGGCACUCCCUCUCUAUUUCCUUGUUGGACCGGCUCUAUGGAAACGGCAUAGUUCUCCUCUCAGAAGGCAGCCUGGGACACUCAGAAGAGUGGUGCUGUUUGGCUGCAGAAGCCCCCAGGGAGCUUUCUCAGACAAGCAGCGUGGGGUCCGCAGCCCAGGAGAGAUGGUCUCAGGUACUGUGGCAGUGGCACCCCUUGCCAAGAAUGUGGUGGUCUUUCGCAAUGGAGACCCCUUUUUCCUUGGCCGGAAAUUUGUUGUGAGCCAGCGCCGAUUCCUGACUUUUGACGCCUUUUUGAAUGAGGUGACCAGCACCAUCCAAGCCCCGGUGGCUGUUAGGAGCAUCUACACACCUCGAGAGGGUCAUCGCAUCGUGGAGCUGAGCGAACUGCAGAACGGAUGCCGAUACGUGGCUGCAGGUUUUGAGCGGUUCAAAAGGCUUGACUAUGCAAAUGCUGGAAUGAAGCAGCUGAACAAGCACCAGAAAAAAAAUGGAACCCAGAAUUAUCCAGGUAUUCCUCAGAAGAUGAUGGUUACUGUAGGAUGGAAGCGGCAAACGAACCUUCCUUGUGUUAUCUACGUUUUCCGCAACGGAGACCUGCUGAGUCCCCCCUUCCGAAUGGUCCUGGCCAGGAGCGUCCUGCAGGAAUGGGGCAUCGUCCUCGGCCGCUUGUCAGAAAAGGCAAACCUGCGCACUGGAGCGGUGAAGAAGCUCUGCAAGCUGAACGGUGACCUCAUCUCCCGGGGGGAGGAACUGGUGAACGGCGAAUAUUAUGUGGCUGUGGGGCUGGAGAAAUACAAAGACUUGCCUUACUUUGAACUACUGGUGCCUCCCAAAAUCCCUCAUCGUCCCUUUCGACGCUUCAUUACUCAACUAGGUAACAUCAUUAGUGCUAGAAGGGGGAGGUGUCUUUUGGUCUCUUUUUAUAUACCAGGGGCUUGCCCUGUCAGAGUCAAUAAAAAAACCCAAAAGAAAACAAAAAGGCCAAAACAUCUCCUUGCCAGCAGUCAAUACCCAGAUAAACAGAUCAACAUCAGGUUCUUUCAACAAUCAAGAAGCAAAGAAUACCCCAAUGAGGAAAUGCCAAACAAGCAACUGGACUUCCUUGAAAACAUUUCGCUUCUCAUCCAAGCAGCUUUUCCAGUUUCAGUUCUUCAGUUUCUUGAAUGAGAAGCGAAAUGUUUUCACGGAAACAAAUCAAGAAGGUCCACUUAUUUUUUGGAAAAGCAACUUUGGGACAACCAUGACCUGGAUGACUGAGAAUCUCCAUUGGCAAAAAAAUGACAGUCUAACCAAGGAACUACCUAGAAGAGAGCCAGACUCCCAGAGCAAGACAUUAGCACAGCGAUGGCUCACCUUUUUCGGACUGAGUGCCCAAAGUGCGUGUGCGCGCCUGAACACCCAAAAUGCAAUGUGCGCAUGUGCGCACGCCCUCCGUGGAUGCAUGUACCCCGCUCACAUGCCCCCUGCGCAUGCACAUGUGGCCCCCCACAGCAUCCCACCCCCCGCAGGUGCCCCACCCCCUGCAUGAGCCCCACCCCCCGCAGGUGCCCCACCCCCUGCAUGCGCCCCACCCCUGUGCAUGCGUAUGUUCCCCCCUGCCCGUGCCCCGCCCCCCGGAUAUGCACGGCAGAGACCCCACUACCAACUGGCUGGCGGGAGGUGCAUGCGUUUGCGCGACAGAACUGAACUGGGGCGACGGCUUGCAUGCCCAGAGGGUGCUGCGUGCCACAGGUUUGCCAUGACGACACUAGCACAUAAAAAGAGAGCCAACCCCAUCUGAGAGGCAGAGUGUGCUGGGCCUACAGACUCUGCGUGUCAAGGUAAUCGAGGCUAAGAAACUAAGGCCAUCUGGGGGUGGAUGGGGUGUCGGGUCAGCUGUUUUUACUGUAACAGCCACAGUAAAAGGAUCUUGCAAAUGUGAAUAUGCUCCCUUGCCCCUUGCUUUUCUCUUCAGAAGAACUAGAGAGGUGGUUGUCUGAGAUGCUUUCUCAGGCCACGCUCAGAUUUCUCUUAGCUGUUGUCUGGGCAGCAGCUCUCCUUCCUGUUCCUCAAGGGGAUCCCUUCUGCCCGCUACCCUGCAAGGUAUCUCAGUAAGGUAGGAAAAGCCUCUCUGGGUGCUGUGGAUAUGAACGUGCUGCUUUUCUGCUCAUAGGAACUUUCCUUCUAACAGAAGACGGAGCUGCAAUCGGGGGGUAAGUAGCCACGAUGGCGGAUUUCCUAAGGCAGCCCCUGUCUGAAAAGGAGCAAAGAUACUUUGCCUCGUGAGAAGAUGUGUGAUGUGUAAAUGUUCCUGUUAUAUUUUUUAAAAAUAAAAUGUCUCCUGCUGUGUUUGCGGUUAACAGAUGGGUCAGAUAUGGCCAGGCCUCCUAGUGAGGGAAAAUUCUUGUGGCUUGAGCUGAGCAGACCGUGGAGGAAUUCCACUCAAGUAGCUUCUUUUCCCCACCUCCUCCGAGGAGACCAUGGAGCAGACAUUCCACUUCUUGGACAAAUCCCAGAGAAGAGGGUCCUUUUUCUUCCCUUUACUAAUAAUGCUGCCAAUUGGUAUUCAUUAACAGGGACCAAAUUAAAACGCUGUAAUUGUUCCCUUAGAAGGCAAAAGGCGAUUACUGGCCUAAAUGUUUUUAUGAAGUCUGGAGAGAAGCAGCAUUCUGCAAAGCAAAGUGCCAGCCUCUUUCACCGCAGAUGCCCCCGGGCCCCAAAUGUAAACUAGAGUAGCAUCUGGCUCUAUGUGCCCUUGCCUAGAAAAAGGGUAAAGUGAGGAGGGGUGGUAGCACGGAGCCUUUGGCGGAGGGAAGGAGGCAGGACACAGGCUAGUAAACAAGUGAGCGUCUGUUAUUUUUCCUGUGUAAUGGUAGAUGGGUUAGGCAUGCAUGGUUGCCGUUUGGUGAGAACGCCCUCUGCCUGUUCCAAAAUUCCCCAUAGGUGACCUAAGUUGUGCUGAAAGAAGAAAAUUCACCUACAGUGAUCAUUUGUCAAGAUCAGAAUCAGCAAAAUCUCAUAAAGUUAUUUACCUAUUUAGUUAUUAUAACUUCUGUUCUCUCCAGGUGGUCUGUGAGGAUGGAGCCAGUGACUCGGCACUCCUUGAGCCAGCGCAACAGCUGAAACUUUGGCGGGUGCAUUCCACAGGGAUUGUGCCUGCAAGAGACCCUCCAAGUCCCCCUGAGUCCAAGCCAGCCAAGAAAUAUCCUCACCA